rnacentral:lncRNA from 1 species
ACCGCAACCAUCUUUAUUGUCCCUCCGAAAAUUUAUUUUUCAAUUAUUCAAAUACCAUUGUACAAACUUGGAUCCGGAUUCUCUGCUGCCGCAUGACGGUGCUGCGCGAUCUGGACCAUCAAUUUCAGUCAAUUAUAAGCAAUCAACAACACAAGUUAAUUGAUGGAUGAUUCAGAUCAAGAGCAGGACAAAAAGCAUGAGAGAGAGGCAGAAGAGGAUCUGCUUCCUACAAACUUAGUUAGGAUUUACGAUUAAGGUGGUGUAUA